AUCCACUGUGACUUCUCAAAUGAGAAUUUCCUUCGGGACAGGGGAGACAGGUGGUGCAUGGUUGUCGUCAGCUCGUGUCGUGAGAUGUUGGGUUAAGUCCCGCAACGAGCGCAACCCUUAUCUUUAGUAGCCAGCAUUUCAGGCUGGGCACUCUAGAGAGACUGCCAGGGAUAACCUGGAGGAAGGUGGGGAUGACGUCAAAUCAUCAUGCCCCUUAUGACCAGGGCUACACACGUGCUACAAUGGCGUAUACAAAGGGAAGCGACCCCGCGAGGGGGAGCAAAUCUCAAAAAUACGUCUCAGUUCGGAUUGUAGUCUGCAACUCGACUACAUGAAGUCUGGAAUCGAUAAUAAUGCGCUGAAUCAGAUGUCAGCGUGAUA
rnacentral:rRNA from 1 species